rnacentral:rRNA from 1 species
UACGGAGGGUGCAAGCGUUAUCCGGAUUCACUGGGUUUAAAGGGUGCGUAGGUGGGCAGGUAAGUCAGUGGUGAAAUCUCCGGGCUUAACCCGGAAACUGCCGUUGAUACUAUCUGUCUUGAAUAUCGUGGAGAUGAGCGGAAUAUGUCAUGUAGCGGUGAAAUGCUUAGAUAUGACAUAGAACACCGAUUGCGAAGGCAGCUCGUUACACGAUUAUUGACACUGAGGCACGAAAGCGUGGGGAUCAAACAGG